rnacentral:rRNA from 1 species
UGGGGAAUUUUGCACAAUGGGGGAAACCCUGAUGCAGCGACGCCGCGUGAUUUAGAAGGCCUUCGGGUUGUAAAAAUCUUUUCUAUGGGAAGAAAAUGACAGUACCAUAGGAAUAAGGACCGGCUAAUUACGUGCCAGCAGCCGCGGUAAUACGUAAGGUCCGAGCGUUGUCCGGAAUCAUUGGGCGUAAAGGGUACGUAGGCGGGUAAGCAAGUUAGAAGUGAAAUCCUAUAGCUCAACUAUAGUAAGCUUUUAAAACUGCUCAUCUUGAGGUAUGGAAGGGAAUGUGGAAUUCCUAGUGUAGCGGUGAAAUGCGCAGAUAUUAGGAGGAAUACCGGUGGCGAAGGCGACUUUCUGGCCAUAACCUGACGCUGAGGUACGAAAGCGUGGGUAGCAAACAGG